AUUGCAAGGAAAUGUCAGUCUUUUUUUCCUAGCAUGAAAAAUUAUUUACACAUUUAUCAGAUUUUCUUGCAACUCCCUAAUUCCCCUACUUCUCAUUAAGAGGAAUAAAAGUUGAGAAUGUUUUUAUAGAACUGUCACAGACUCCAUCUACCUGCAGUGCCUCUUAAGCUAUCUCUCCCUUCUAAUCCUCUCUCCCCACUCCCUUUUUUCUUAUUUGCCCUAUACAUUUUUGUUGGACUCAUCUUUUAAAGUUGCAACCAGUUCCCCCUUUGCAAAAUCCCCAGUGCUUUUCCAGUCUCUGGCUUCGAUAAUCCGAUGGCUUUCUCGACCAUCUUUCCAGGUGUGUCAUCUAAGCUGGAUGUCCAGUAGUUCCUUGUGUUUAUGUCCGUGUUUCAAUUUCUUUGCUGAAGAAAUCCUCCAAACCUCUAGAGUAUGCUUUCUUUUCCUUCUUUUCUUUGUGUAGCCUGCUGAAAUCCUGUAGUUGACUUUGAUGCUGGAGAAUCCAUUGGAGAGAGCAUCACAGAUUACAAAGAAAUGAGGAGAUAAUACUAAGAACCAAAGCAAACAUGAAGCCCGUGGCAGUAUCACCAUGAAAUGACUGAGAGGAGGGGAAUUUCCCAUGAGUCAUGUCUUCACCCCAGGAAUCUGGGCAACCCUCCAGAGCUCCCAAAUGUGGAAGAGGUGAUUCUGUGUCAGCCCCAGCACUGGACACAUGUUUUAAAUUCAGAGGUAUUUUACGUGAAUAGGUGUCUGUGAGGUGAAAGAAAAACAUACUUAGCAUAUUAUUUGCAAAUUUAAUGAAGACAGUGUUUAAAGUAGGCAGAUACUACAUUUUGAUGGUUUUAGUCUAUAGUUUAUUUUUCAUUCAAGCAAGGUUGUCUGACGAAAGCUUUGUUUCUGUGCAAGGUUUGUGCAGCUCCAUGUGUUUUGCCUCUGUGGGACCCAGUGUGCCUUGUGGGGCAGGUGGCCAGCUCUGCUCUGUCAGUUGUUCUGUCUUAUCCAAGAGAAAGAAAAUACAUAUGGCCCUAGAGUUAUGAAAAUAGUCACUCUCCUUUUUACUUGGAGAGGCCUGAAACAGCCCAUUGCAUGGGGCUGCCUGUGUGUGCAGCACUGUCACAGUCCAGAGCCACCACACCUUCCAGGGGGACACUAUUUUGUGAAAUAAACCUGUAUGAUUAAGUUCUGCACCAUGAUAUAUAUCGUUAAAAAGAGAAAUCACAUACUUUCUACUUGUGCUUGAAUUCCAUGGACAGGAGGGAGACCAUGAAUUCUACCAGUGUCUGAGUGGUAGGAGUAGGAGUUGUUUUAUGUAGAGUGCUUAUUUUAGUGCAGAUUUGCAAGGGCCUUGGUGUAGUAAAUCAAGGUUACUGAGUCUCCCACCUUAAAGCCUGAAGUUCUGAGCCAUGGAAUAGGAGCCUGGCUGAUAAAAGGAGUAAUUGAAGAACAAUGAUAUGCUUCAUUUCCUUUUCUUGAAUCUAAGUUAUGCAGCGG
rnacentral:lncRNA from 1 species